GAGAAGUCGUAACAAGGUUUCCGUAGGUGAACCUGCGGAAGGAUCAUUCACAUUUAACACUUCGGUGUUAAAUGUCCCUCCAUCGCGUCUGGACUCCUUGCCGAGAGUUAUCGACUAAAAUAUUGACAUUGUUGCCGUAUCGGCGACGGUUGCUAGUUCUAGUGACUUUCUACAUGGUGCUAUAUGCUAACAUCUAAUUUGAGGCAUUAGAUGGUUGUGACUGUUGAUAAUCAAUAAACGCCAACUAACUUCUUCUUGGGUUCCCUGUUUUUUGUUAAUUUAUAAAUUUCAGUAUUUUAAUUAGAGAAAGAUUGUAUCGAUCUCACCGUGGUGCGUAACUUGUUACGUUACCAUUGGACAUUUAUCAAAUUGACGACGAUCCGGGACUCGUCCUGGAUUUGUCGCAGGAGUUAUAUAUAUAUAUAUUGACCCGUUCCAGUCAAUCCCUGGUAAAUUCGUCAUCUUCGAUUAUCUAUAUGAUUUGAGAAGAUGGUUCUGACCGAACGUGCGAGUUUAAAGAUUAAGUUAGUCGGUAGUAGUUUACAGAAUAUUACUAGAACUUGUAUAGGUCUGUGCCGUGGGCGUUGUUGACUCAACUCGAAAGUAGUAUCCAUGUAGAUUGCUCCUAUUGCUAGUUAACAUCGGAUUGGUAUGCCAGUAAUGUCUUUAUAACGUCGAAUUACACUUGCUAAGGCCUAGGUGUGCUGGUAACCGCGACGGGGCGGUUAUUCAACCGCCACCCUCGGGGGGUAACCCGAGGGCGUCGCACCCCUACCCCUCCGGCAUUCAAGCGGGUGUCGCUGGUGUAUCAGGGCCCGUGUCAGUUGUUAUUGUGUAGUUGCAACUUGUACCGGUUGCUUCUAUGCUUUGACGAGUGUCACUCGGCGCUGGUGCCACAGCGUUCAUUCGCCAAUGCCAGGGUUACGCCUCUCAGCAAGUUGUUAUUGAUCUUUACAGUUUCCGCUUGUUGAGAGGAUGCCUUUUGAAUCACAUUCAAUGUGCUCAGGGGCUCUACGUAUGUAGCUUUUCAAACACUGUUUAACCGUUGUUAUUCAUCAACUGUGUAUUGUUACGGUCAAUACAACUGUUGGUUGUACCUGUGUAUGGUUGGUGAUGACGCCAGGUUGACGUUUAGUAAUUUUUAAACUGUCAGCGGUGGAUGUCUUGGCUCACACAACGAUGAAGGACGCAGCGAAUUGCGAUAAGCAUUGUGACUUGCAGACUUCUGCGAAUCAACAGAUUUCUGAACGUAUUAGACACACCACCUCUGCUUGCACGUGGUACUCCCAUUUCAGUGAACCUUCAAUUCUAAUAAAAACCACUUUUGCAAUACGUCAACGACGACUGCAAUGUCAUAGACGUUGAUGGUCUGAGACGGUAUAGCUGGUGGCCAUGUUGUGAGUGGUGACUUGCGCGGUCACUCAAUUCUAGUUGAACCGGUGUCUGUGUGCACGGCCACUGCCUCGGCGGUGGUGUGGAACUGUUGCUGUAAUUCAUUACUCUUGUUCUACUUUGUGUCACGCCUUCACAUGGUUCGACUCCCAUGUAACACAUCUAUGCAAUGUUAUUUGUACUAGUGUUGACAUACUGACUAGUGUUAUUGAUGUUUGUAUUUAUAAUAUUUACGAGUUGUUAGAUAUGAAAAUCAAUAUUGUUAAUACAGGUGUUGAUAAUGUUAGGAGGUAUUGUUGAUGCUGGUAUGGGUGAUGUUGUAUAAUGUAUGGGUUAGGUCAAUUUUUGUUCCUGAGAUUGGGUGAGACUAUCCACUGAAUUUAAACAUAUAAUUAAGUGGUAGAAAAGAAAAUAAAUAUGAUUCCCCUAGUAACGGCGAGUGAAGC
rnacentral:rRNA from 1 species